rnacentral:tRNA from 1 species
GCGUGUAGCUCAGGUGGUAGAGCACUUGACUUUUAAUCAAGUUGUCCGGGGUUCGAAUCCCCGAUG